AGAUUAUUGCACUGAUGGCUGAGCAUUGUUGUGAGGAAUUUGUGACUGCAGUUCCUACUUGAAUUCAUUUACAUAACAAGAUGUUCAGAUCUAUACUUUGUCUCGUUUUAGGCAAUGCUCAUUUACUGGAUAUUACAUACGUAUAAUAAAACGUAGUACAGCUAUAAGCGAUAUUAUCUUUAUAUAUUCACUUAUGUAUUUAAAUUAUGCUGGCCCAUGUUUUAAUAAUUAAAAGUUGGAUAAGUUUCAUCACCCGGCAUAAAAAAGACUGGGUAACAUUUUAUUAUUUACAAGAUGACACUGUCAAAAGAAUUUUACAAAAAUCAUAAUUUUGGAGAAAAAUUAAAUUCAUUUGGAUCGCAUGUCACAUUGCAUUGUAACGCAAGCCUAUAUCGGUUCAUACCCCCAACAUUUCCAACAAAGGAAUUUUUGAAGUUUUACGGAAGAUAUGACAACAUGAGAAACAUUCAAUUCAAGAGUUUCACAGUAUCCAUGAGCCUUGGUAUUUGUGCAGUUAUAUAGUCGUCGUGAUACAUCAGUAUGUUGAGUGCUUAUACACAAUGGUUUAUGAUAAUUAGCACGACUUUCUUUAACUCUUCCCCUCCAACUUAAUUACUUGGCUGAAUUUAGAUACGCCGGUAUGUGGACUUUCGCCACACACGCAGGGACCGGAUUGGCGGUGGCAGGUCUUAGUGCAACGUAUUACGCCCUGGCCAGAAAAAAUGCUCAGGUGAAUCAUCUUCUUAAAUAAUUAACUUGUGAAUCUUUUUAUUGUUCGUUCGAUAAUAAUUGAUCAUAGUUCAUUUUCUGCGCAGUUGGAACGAGACAGCAGCACAAUUUGGGACGAUGGAGAUCGAAAUCGACUCGAUGAAAAAACUUUUAGUUCAAUGGCAGCUUUGACAACCUCUCAAAUGCUGUUGAAGAAGGAACUCGACAGUUUAUCACGAGAAAGUGGUCACAAUUUAGGUCUUAACACAUUCGAAGGGCAAAAUUACGCUCCAAUUCCAAGUAAACAUAAUGAAAUGCAGAUUAGAAGGAUUGUUAGCAGAGUGCAAACCAGUUUCUCCAUGGACCCACUUUUUAGCAACACAAAAUCAGACACGAGUUUCUCUGGAGUCGUCUCAGAUUCCCACCCAACUUUGGCCCCAAUAAGGCAGAUGAAUCAACAUGCAUAUGAUCAUAAUGCUGCUAGUCCAAAGCAAGAAUAUGCGUCCACCAGUGAGAGGACAUCUGAGGAAACGACUUUAGAAGGAUGCUUCUUGGUUGAGAGAACAAAGUCUCCGGUGGUUUACUACAAAAACCCGGACUUUGGGAAACGGUCAGCUGGAAGAACGUGCAUGGAUGUGUCCGACGUUUAUGCGGCUCCAGGGUUCAACAUCAACGAGGAAUCUUACGAUUGGACAGAUAAAGAUCAAUCAACUGACCGAGUGUACAAAGACAGCACGCGUUUUAUUUUUGCUCCAAUCCUCUCCGAAUCAGGAGUAUCGCUGUGUGACGACGACGACGACGACGAUGACCAUCAACAGUUCCUUAUUAAUGACGAGCCCACUGAGAUUGACUUUGACCAGGAACCCAAGUCUUUCGCUAGUAAAGAUCACUGGACUAGUGAUGGAUUGUCUCAAAUUGACGAAAUUCAUGACUACAAUUUGCAACUCCGACUGGGGCAAGGACUUGGCGUAAAUAGUGAUGACUCGGGGUUACUUGUCAGAAAUGAUCUAACCAUCCCGGAUUCACCUCGUAUGAGUUUAUUCGAUCAUGAUGACAAAGAAGAGAUGUUGGAAACUGCAGAGGAAUCUUUGGUUAAAUUAGAAGUUCCUGUAAAGAAUGAGUCCCCUGAGAUGGGUGAACUAGUGAUGGGUGUCCAUGAUGAAAUCGCUAGUGGAGGUGGAGACGGGGAUAAGAUUCAAAAAUCCACAAAAACUGACACCCUUGUUAUUGCCACCAUUGAUGAAUGUCAAGAUUGUUUCCCAAGAAUUUGUAUAGCACCUUCAACAUCAAUUUUGGGCAGAAUUCCGGAAAAUUCAUGGAUCGGAUGGCCGAUCAGACUCUACACCGACUUUGCAACAGAUCAUCCAACAGUGGUACUUUUAUUUCUUGGAGCAGUUAUUCUGCUUACAGCUCUUCUUGGAAAAUUAUUUAUCACGAUGGGAGAAUGGUUCGAGUAUAUAAACGAUAUCGACUAUAAUCCCGAUGCUUUGAUGGAACAUUAAAGUUAACGUACACCCGACCUCGACUCGAGUGCAAAUGCAUGAAAAUAAAUGUCAACCAUAAUUUAAAGCACUUAUUUUUAAUACACACAUGUUAAGUAUUUAUGUAUAAACAAGCUUCUAGAAUUGAAAAUUUUACUCAACAUUUUAGCAGCUAAUAUGUAUGAUGUCGAACACAACUAACUUAACAAAACCCAGUUAAUUUGUGUACCACCUACAAAACAAAACGGAUAUGUACACAAUGCAGGAAUGUUUUGAAUAAAGCAAGACCCAAUUAUGUACAUUUGUUUGACUUGUUUCUUCCACUGCAAGGCCAGAAAUAUGAGUCUCCAGUUUAGUUUAGUCUAGGAGAUUGUCCUUAAAGAAUGCAAUGUUAUCUGAUAUCUCCAAUUCCGUAUCUCUAAUCUUAACUGGAAACUAUGAUGACUCAAUAUUUUUAUGCUUUAACUACAUACAUAUGUAAAAUCACUUAUUGAAAAGUAUCUUAUUACUCUAAAGUUUAGAGUCUUAACUGAUAGAUUUUGUAACUAAUUGUAAGUCCUGUGCCACGGUAAUUCCAGUACUCAGCCUGUUAAAAAUGUGUUAAAUAAUAUUGUUGCAUAGAAUUCUGCACCAUUAAUUGUGAGAUUUUCUGACAUUCCGAAUUAAAAACUUUUAGAGACCUGACAGCUCUUAAAGAUGUCGAACGGUGGUGGUAGCGAGACUCCUCCCCCAGCCUACAGCCAAGUGGCCCAGCUGAACCAACUCCCACCUCAACGCCGACAAGCUCCACAGGUGGACGAGCUCAUCAGUCAGCACCGUCAUCACGUGUUCAGCAUUUUACUGGUCAAGGAUAAUCAAUUGCACUUGAUCGACUGCCCUCCCGGAUACUACGAGCUGGUCAGUGAAGCUAUCCAGGAGUACUGGGGAGCCAUAAAAACGACCACCUUCGCCAACAAUGGAACCAUAAAGUUCGUGCUUCAGGAGAUUGAUGCAUUUGGACCAUGGAGUGCUCUUCGUCGGACUGACCAGUCCAUCCGUUCUCGGCGUGUGAUUGGGGGAAUAAUGCAACGACUGGCUCGCCAUGGCUGGGGUCUCCUCCAAACCUGUGAAAUUUCUAUGAAGGAAAAUGGGAAGGACACCUUGUUCUUCGAGGACAGCUUAAUUGACCGUGAAGCCAGAAUCUUUGCCAUCUCGUUUUCUAGAACUGAUCGGCUCCGACUUAUCUCCGCGCCCAUAGGAUUCAUCACCAUCGUUCGCGACGUGAUCUCGUCCGUGUGGAAACGUGGAAUCCAGUCUUCAAAGAAUCUUUGCUCGGGAACUCAUGAAUUCAAGCUGUACGGAUUUCCGUGGGUUACAAGCGGCAUAGGGAUGGAAAAAUGCAAGCUGUUUACGAAAUUGUGCACAGAGAUGAGAAAUCACGGCUACAAGUUUCAUGCUUCGGUUAAGCUCACCCAGAAAUACAAGGAGAUGCCGACGUGGUAUUUCAGAAAGGUUACGCGAGUUUACAGCUAAAAAUCUAAAAUUACGCAAUUGCGCUUCCUCCUUCAUUUAAUUUACUUGAAAUGAGUUUUCCAGCAUUCUUGCAUUUUUCUACAAACCAUUAAUUAUUUUAUAGCUGCGUACUUACUCAGUAGUGUAUUGGAAUUGGAAUUAUUCAUUUAUGCAUUUAUAUCUACGUAGGCCAAAUAUUAUAUUAUGAUUAGUAUUAUGAGAACCAAUCAAUGCAUUCAUAUUUUCUGUCAAUAAUGUGAUAGCUAUUUAGAUAUUUGUUAAAUUGAAAUUCUUGAACCUUCACUUUGUAUAUUCUAAUAAAAAUAAUAGUACAUA